UGCAGUCGAGCGGUAACAGGAAUUAGCUUGCUAAUUCGCUGACGAGCGGCGGACGGGUGAGUAAUGCCUGGGAAUAUGCCUUAGUGUGGGGGAUAACUAUUGGAAACGAUAGCUAAUACCGCAUAACGUCUUCGGACCAAAGAGGGGGACCUUCGGGCCUCUCGCGCUAAGAUUAGCCCAGGUGGGAUUAGCUAGUUGGUGGGGUAAAGGCCCACCAAGGCAACGAUCCCUAGCUGGUCUGAGAGGAUGAUCAGCCACACUGGAACUGAGACACGGUCCAGACUCCUACGGGAGGCAGCAGUGGGGAAUAUUGCACAAUGGGGGAAACCCUGAUGCAGCCAUGCCGCGUGUAUGAAGAAGGCCUUCGGGUUGUAAAGUACUUUCAGUCGUGAGGAAGGGUUUGUAGUUAAUAGCUGCAUGCCUUGACGUUAGCGACAGAAGAAGCACCGGCUAACUCCGUGCCAGCAGCCGCGGUAAUACGGAGGGUGCGAGCGUUAAUCGGAAUUACUGGGCGUAAAGCGCAUGCAGGCGGUCUGUUAAGCAAGAUGUGAAAGCCCGGGGCUCAACCUCGGAACCGCAUUUUGAACUGGCAGACUAGAGUCUUGUAGAGGGGGGUAGAAUUUCAGGUGUAGCGGUGAAAUGCGUAGAGAUCUGAAGGAAUACCGGUGGCGAAGGCGGCCCCCUGGACAAAGACUGACGCUCAGAUGCGAAAGCGUGGGGAGCAAACAGGAUUAGAUACCCUGGUAGUCCACGCCGUAAACGAUGUCUACUUGAAAGGUUGUGGCCUUGAGCCGUGG
rnacentral:rRNA from 1 species